AACGAACGCUGGCGGCAUGCCUAACACAUGCAAGUCGAACGAGACCUUCGGGUCUAGUGGCGCACGUGUGCGUAACGCGUGGGAACCUGCCCUUAGGUUCGGAAUAACUCCCCGAAAGGGGUGCUAAUACCGGAUAAUGUCUUCGGACCAAAGAUUUAUCGCCUUUGGAUGGGCCCGCGUUGGAUUAGCUAGUUGGUAGUGUAAAAGCCUACCAAGGCGACGAUCCAUAGCUGGUCUGAGAGGAUGAUCAGCCACACUGGGACUGAGACACGGCCCAGACUCGUACGGGAGGGAGCAGUGGGGAAUAUUGGACAAUGGGCGAAAGCCUGAUCCAGCAAUGCCGGGUGAGUGAUGAAGGCCUUAGGGUUGUAAAGCUCUUUUACCCGGGAUGAUAAUGACAGUAACGGGAGAAUAAGCUCCGGCUAACUACGUG
rnacentral:rRNA from 1 species